CUAUUGCGUUAGGGAUUGAAGUGAAAAUCCUUUUUUGAAUCGACGCAUGAAAUGCGACGUUUCAAAAAAGAUUGCAACGUAAAGCCCGACGAUCC
rnacentral:sRNA from 1 species